rnacentral:lncRNA from 1 species
AUCGUAUAGUUCUUAAACAUGUUCGUGACCAAAUGAUAUAUCAUUACGGGAUGAUGACGUUUAUCGAGUGGAGGUCAUUGUAUGCUAUAUGGGUUGGUUGUUCUCUUAAUCAAAAAGUAUGGUGAUACUGGUAUGGCAUACAGGUGAGAUGUAGGGGUAUAUCAUCACUGAAUAAGUGACUCAUCUAUUGAGCAUUCUGCUGUUAAGAGCUGCUCACGAAACAUAUGGCUAUAAGUGUCCUUUAGACCUG